AUAUCCUGCCCGCCCUCAGGUGCUCUGAUCUUUGAUCAAGUUAAACGGGAAGUUGGUGUCCUCCUUAGCUCCCGCUAAGACAGUCCAACGCUGCCCCCGCAACGGUGAUCGGCUUAGCUGACUGAUACAUAGCCACUGUGAUUGAACUGGUUUUCAUACCAGUAAGUCGUGGGAAGGCAUCAGUCAGUGUUAUCUCAGGAUAAAAGCCGUCAGCCCGGAUACCGGCCUGUAAACGCUGAAUCAA
rnacentral:ncRNA from 2 species